AUGAAACAGUUACUUUGCACUGUUUUCCUUCCUUCUCAAGCACUGAACCCAGCCGCUCCACCUAACAUUAUCAUCAGCGCACCACGCUCAACAGAUUUUGUGGGGUCCCCAUUAAAUGCCACCAUCACCUGCAAUGCUAUUAAUCUGUACACUGAGAAAACCACACUCCAGUGGCUGAGGGAUGAAACAGUUGUUGAAUCUGAUGGCCCCACUACCAUUUCAACCUCAAAAUGCAGUCACAGCCUGAGGAGUGAGCUAACAGUCACCAAGAGCGACUGGGACAAUGGCAAGAAGUUUUCCUGCAACGUGUUCAACGAGAAAUUCAAUGGGAUAAGGAACAUCAGCAAACCCCUUAUUUGUGGCAAUCUUCCUGUCCCUGUCAAGGUUGAGACCAUCCUGCCUUCCUUUGCUGAUAUUUUCCAAACCAAGACGGCCAUUCUGACCUGCAGAAUUUCGAACAUACCUGAUGACCAAGAUCUUAAGGAGCUGAAUGUCACCUGGACACGAGCAGAUGAUAGCAAACCCCUAGAGACUAUCCUUAAACCGUCGCAAGAACAAGAAAGCAGUGGGCUGCUAUUCAAGGAUGCUAUAGCUACAGUGUGUGCAGAUGAGUGGAACAAAGGGGAAACUUUCAAGUGCAAAAUUAUUCACCCAGCUUUAUUUCCCUCAAUGGAAGUCAGAUCCCUGCGCAAGCCUCAAGAUGGCAACCCCUCUGCUCCACAUAUCUACAUGCUUCCUCCUCCUUCGGAUCAGCUGGCUUUGCAGGAAACAGCCACCGUCACUUGUUUGGUGAAAAAUUUCUCCCCUAGUGACUUCUUUGUCAAAUGGCUGCGGAAUGAUGAGCCCGUGGAUGCUUCUGAAUACUUCACCAGCCCAGCCACCCAGGAGUCCAAGGCACCCAACCGGUAUCACGCUUAUAGCAUGCUGAACGUCAACGCAGAAGAUUGGAAUUCUGGAACUCCUUUCACUUGUGUGGUGGGGCAUGAGAUGUUGCCCCUCCAGACGUCUCAGAAGACCAUAGACAAGAAUACGGAUCUUCCUGUCCCUGUCAAGGUUGAGACCAUCCCGCCUUCCUUUGCUGAUAUUUUCCAGACCAAGAUGGCCAUUCUGACCUGCAGAAUUUCGAACAUACCUGAUGACCAAGAUCUUAAGGAGCUGAAUGUCGCCUGGACACGAGCAGAUGAUAGCAAACCCCUAGAGACUAUCCUUAAACCGUCGCAAGAACAAGAAAGCAGUGGGCUGCUAUUCAAGGAUGCCGUAGCUACAGUGUGUGCAGAUGAGUGGAACAAAGGGGAAACUUUCAAGUGCAAAAUUAUUCACCCAGCUUUAUUUCCCUCAAUGGAAGUCAGAUCCCUGCGCAAGCCUCAAGAUGGCAACCCCUCUGCUCCACAUAUCUACAUGCUUCCUCCUCCUUCGGAUCAGCUGGCUUUGCAGGAAACAGCCACCGUCACUUGUUUGGUGAAAGAUUUCUCCCCUAGUGAGUUCUUUGUCAAAUGGCUGCGGAAUGAUGAGCCCGUGGAUGCUUCUGAAUACUUCACCAGCACAGCCACCCAGGAGUCCAAGGCACCCAACCGGUAUCACGCUUAUAGCAUGCUGAAGGUCAACGCAGAAGAGUGGAAUUCUGGAACUCCUUUCACUUGCGUGGUGGGGCAUGAGAGGUUGCCCCUCCAGACGUCUCAGAAGACCAUAGACAAGAAUACGGGUAAACCAACCACUGUCAACGUCUCCCUCGUGCUCUCCGACACCGCCAGCACUUGCCAAUAACCAUUCUUCUCAAGCCUCCUGCACAUCUUUCUCAGCUUCCUAAUUCUGCCAGCAUCUGCUUUCCCUUCUUGUGUCUCCAUUUGUUUAAUUAUUGGCCUUUUUGUGGAGGAAUAGAGGGGUGAUGUACCCUGAAUGUUGUAGAAUUAACUGGCCACAUCUCUUUGAAGUAAAACAAUAGUUUGAAAUAAAGAAAGUUUAUUGAAACGUAAGAAGAUAAUUCUGU